CAAGCCGGCGGAGGUCGCGGUGGCCGCCACGGUGCGCCGGUCGACGGCGCUGCUGGGUGGCACUAACGUGGUGCAAGAGGGCGGGCCCCAGGCGGACGGCGGGACGGUUUGGUUCCGACCGGUGGC